UCACACUUGGCGAUGCUGAGUCCUGCUCUACGUGUUCACAGCGGACCUUGAUUUAAUGUCCAUACAAUUAAGGCACGCGGUGAAUGCCAAGAGAGGGACCAUCAAACUUCAAUUCCACU
rnacentral:precursor_RNA from 17 species